GAUGAACGCUGGCGGCGUGCCUAAUACAUGCAAGUCGAGCGAACGGACGAGAAGCUUGCUUCUCUGAUGUUAGCGGCGGACGGGUGAGUAACACGUGGAUAACCUACCUAUAAGACUGGGAUAACUUCGGGAAACCGGAGCUAAUACCGGAUGAUAUUUUGAACCGCAUGGUUCAAAAGUGAAAGACGGUCUUGCUGUCACUUAUAGAUGGAUCCGCGCUGCAUUAGCUAGUUGGUAAGGUAACGGCUUACCAAGGCAACGAUGCAUAGCCGACCUGAGAGGGUGAUAGGCCACACUGGAACUGAGACACGGUCCAGACUCCUACGGGAGGCAGCAGUAGGGAAUCUUCCGCAAUGGGCGAAAGCCUGACGGAGCAACGCCGCGUGAGUGAUGAAGGUCUUCGGAUCGUAAAACUCCGUUAUUAGGGAAGAACAUAUGUGUAAGUAACUGUGCACAUCUUGACGGUACCUAAUCAGAAAGCCACGGCUAACUACGUG
rnacentral:rRNA from 1 species